rnacentral:rRNA from 1 species
GGGCCCGCACAAGCGGUGGAGCAUGUGGCUUAAUUCGAGGCAACGCGAAGAACCUUACCUGGUCUUGACAUGCCCGUCAUAGUUUUCCGAAAGGAAUUCGUCGGUUCGGCCGGACGGUGCACAGGUGCUGCAUGGCUGUCGUCAGCUCGUGUCGUGAGAUGUUCGGUUAAGUCCGGCAACGAGCGCAACCCUCGUUCCUAGUUGCCAGCGGGUAAUGCCGGGGACUCUAGGAAGACAAACCUCGUGUAGAGGUGGGAAGGUGGGGACGACGUCAAGUCAGUAUGGCCCUUACGACCAGGGCUGCACACGUGCUACAAUGCCCGGUACAAUGGGAUGCAAUACCGCGAGGUUGAGCCAAUCCAUAAAACCGGGCCCAGUUCGGAUUGGAGUCUGCAACUCGACUCCAUGAAGUUGGAAUCGCUAGUAA